rnacentral:tRNA from 1 species
GAGGGUAUAGCUCAGCUGUAGAGUGCAUGCUUAGCAUGCACGAGGUCAAGGGUUCGAUCCCCAUAACCUCC